AGGGUUCGAUUAUGGCUCAGAACGUACGCUGGCGGCACGCCUAACACAUGCAAGUCGAACGCAGUAGCAAUACUGAGUGGCGAACGGGUGAGUAUAAUGUGGGUAUCUGCCUUUUGGUUUGGAAUAACACGGGGAAACUUGUGCUAAUACCGGAUAAGCCUUUACAGGGAAAGUUUUAACGCCGAAAGAUGAGCCCAUACUUGAUUAGCUAGUUGGUAAGGUAAUGGCUUACCAAGGCUACGAUCAAUAGCUGAUCUGAGAGGAUGAUCAGCCACAUUGGGACUGAGACACGGCCCAAACUCCUACGGGGGGCAGCAGUGGGGAAUCUUGCACAAUGGGGGAAACCCUGAUGCAGCGAUGCCGCGUGAGUGAAGAAGGCCUUUGGGUUGUAAAGCUCUUUCGUCGGGGAAGAAAAUGACUGUACCCGAAUAAGAAGGUCCGGCUAACUUCGUGCCAGCCGCCGCGGUAAUUC
rnacentral:rRNA from 1 species